AAAGCGUGCGCAGGCGGUUAUACAAGACAGGCGUGAAAUCCCCGGGCUUAACCUGGGAAUGGCGUCUGUGACUGUAUGACUAGAGUGUGUCAGAGGGGGGUAGAAUUCCACGUGUAGCAGUGAAAUGCGUAGAUAUGUGGAGGAAUACCAAUGGCGAAGGCAGCCCCCUGGGAUAACACUGACGCUCAUGCACGAAAGCGUGGGGAGCAAACAGGAUUAGAUACCCGAGU
rnacentral:rRNA from 1 species